ACGCUAGCUACAGGCUUAACACAUGCAAGUCGAGGGGCAUCAGGAAGAAAGCUUGCUUUCUUUGCUGGCGACCGGCGCACGGGUGAGUAACACGUAUCCAACCUGCCCUUUACUCGGGGAUAGCCUUUCGAAAGAAAGAUUAAUACCCGAUGGCAUAAUGAUUCCGCAUGGUUUCAUUAUUAAAGGAUUCCGGUAAAGGAUGGGGAUGCGUUCCAUUAGGUUGUUGGUGAGGUAACGGCUCACCAAGCCUUCGAUGGAUAGGGGUUCUGAGAGGAAGGUCCCCCACAUUGGAACUGAGACACGGUCCAAACUCCUACGGGAGGCAGCAGUGAGGAAUAUUGGUCAAUGGGCGCUAGCCUGAACCAGCCAAGUAGCGUGAAGGAUGAAGGCUCUAUGGGUCGUAAACUUCUUUUAUAUAAGAAUAAAGUGCAGUAUGUAUACUGUUUUGUAUGUAUUAUAUGAAUAAGGAUCGGCUAACUCCGUGCCAGCAGCCGCGGUAAUACGGAGGAUCCGAGCGUUAUCCGGAUUUAUUGGGUUUAAAGGGAGCGUAGGUGGACUGGUAAGUCAGUUGUGAAAGUUUGCGGCUCAACCGUAAAAUUGCAGUUGAUACUGUCAGUCUUGAGUACAGUAGAGGUGGGCGGAAUUCGUGGUGUAGCGGUGAAAUGCUUAGAUAUCACGAAGAACUCCGAUUGCGAAGGCAGCUCACUGGACUGCAACUGACACUGAUGCUCGAAAGUGUGGGUAUCAAACAGGAUUAGAUACCCUGGUAGUCCACACAGUAAACGAUGAAUACUCGCUGUUUGCGAUAUACAGUAAGCGGCCAAGCGAAAGCAUUAAGUAUUCCACCUGGGGAGUACGCCGGCAACGGUGAAACUCAAAGGAAUUGACGGGGGCCCGCACAAGCGGAGGAACAUGUGGUUUAAUUCGAUGAUACGCGAGGAACCUUACCCGGGCUUAAAUUGCAGUGGAAUGAUGUGGAAACAUGUCAGUGAGCAAUCACCGCUGUGAAGGUGCUGCAUGGUUGUCGUCAGCUCGUGCCGUGAGGUGUCGGCUUAAGUGCCAUAACGAGCGCAACCCUUAUCUUUAGUUACUAACAGGUUAUGCUGAGGACUCUAGAGAGACUGCCGUCGUAAGAUGUGAGGAAGGUGGGGAUGACGUCAAAUCAGCACGGCCCUUACGUCCGGGGCUACACACGUGUUACAAUGGGGGGUACAGAAGGCAGCUAGCGGGUGACCGUAUGCUAAUCCCAAAAUCCUCUCUCAGUUCGGAUCGAAGUCUGCAACCCGACUUCGUGAAGCUGGAUUCGCUAGUAAUCGCGCAUCAGCCACGGCGCGGUGAAUACGUUCCCGGGCCUUGUACACACCGCCCGUCAAGCCAUGGGAGCCGGGGGUACCUGAAGUACGUAACCGCAAGGAUCGUCCUAGGGUAAAACUGGU
rnacentral:rRNA from 1 species